GUCAUCAGGUCUGGUGACACGUACCUUUGCUCACCAAGCUGUCUCAAUAGUCCCCAUGGCCUCCGUCCUCUUGAGAGCUGCCUUUUCUUCCUUUUUCAUUCACACAGGGACCAUUUUAUCUGGAGAGGAUCUGGGGUUGACGGAAGAAAGGAGGAAGAGAGCCCGAGUGUCCGAACGACUGAACUACUGGAGGGCCUUAAGCAGCAGAGCUCACGAGGACAGUGAGUUUCCUGUUACCCUGAAAGGCAGAGGCUCAGCGGAAGAUCACAGCGACUACAAACACACACAGGCAGUGCCUUGAUUUCAUCUGUCUCAGUGAACGACUCAUACUUUUGCAAUCCUGUUUUGGGUGGUUUUGAGGAAAGCAGACUUGUAGAAGCUUAUAAUCGUCCGCUUAUAUGCCUUUCUCUUCUAAUCAAUAAAGGCUCUUUAAUUAAAGGAC